UCUCUACUUCCUCGCCUCUACUCCUACACGCUGAGACUGACCGUAUAACAUUUCCGAUUUUCUUUGAUUUGUGCUAUUGUUUUUCUUAUAGUUAAGGGAAAUGUGAAAUAUUAUCGUACCUUUGUCUUUCAAAAUUUAGAAAAAUGAAAAAUAGACCAAAGUAAGUUUAUUGAAGACAAACAGGCCUUGGGCCGCUGCCUCUGUCUCUCCUGCAUUCCCCACUGCAACUGCAGCCCACAUUCACAACCAAAGCCAAACCUGUGCGAACUGAAGCACCACAGAACUUCUUUUAGGAAAGCAGAAUGAAAACCUCCUCGGUAUAACCAUGCAAUUAUGGAAGAUGACGUUACCAGCAGCCCUGGGGGAUGACACAGACGGCCCAGAUGGAUGGCUGAAGAUUAAAGGAGAGGAAGAGUGAUCCUGGGGAACUCUUCAUUUUAAGUAAAUUGAAGAUUGCCAGAAAUUCCUUACUAUUUCUCCCAUCGAAAUAGGGAAGCAAAUUCACCUCACCUUGAAUGUGGGCUCCUUUUAUUGACUUCUUGUCCAACAGAAGGUGGGAGAAAAAAAAACAACAUUAUGUUCUUGGACUUCCAAGACUAGGUCAUAUGAAUCCUUGAAGCUUCUUUCCAGCUCUCUUGGAACAUUUUCUCAGUGAGACCCGAGAUGCCAUGUAAGUCUAACAGCCACCCCACUGCUGUACUGGGGAAGACACAUGGAGGUGUUCUGAUGGACAGCUCCUGCCUGGUCCAGAAUUCCAGAUCUCCUGCCAAGAUGCUAGGAAAGCGAGAAUAGCCCUCUUGGAUCUUCCAGACCAGUGCAUCUGCCAGCUAAGUGUUAGUGUGAAUUCUAGAAAUGCUAUGUUGAAAGGAAAGCUCCAUGGGUAAAUACGCUUCUGCUAAUAAGUGGGAUACCAGAACUGCUGUUAGCAGCUGUCAGGUGGAAGUGGUUCUCAUGUGUCAGAUUCUAGUGGAAGUUUUCAGUGUCUCUUUUCCUUAUAGGCUUAAUAUGUUUCUCUACUGCUCCCAGCAGAGGUUCUCAGCAUACUCCAAAGAACACUGACUUUGAUAUCGUGCCGAUCAGGUUUCGAAUUCACUAAUUUCCAUUUAUAAUCUGUAUAACAUCAAAUCCUGUUCCAAUGUUUCUGUCAUUCAGCUUUGUCAUCUCUCCACACAGAAAAACACCCACCCAUGGUCAUCCCACCUCUGCUGCCUAAACACUAUGUUAAUGUUACGUGGCUUCCCCAUGCUAUGCACUGUCUGUAAAAUAGGGAUAGUAUCACCUUCCUCUGGAUGCAUUGUGCAAAUUCAAUG